UACAGAGGAGCCAAGCGUUGUCCGGAUUGACUGGGCGUAAAGCGCACGCAGGCGGACGCGCGCGUGGGGUGUGAAAUCUGGCCGCUUAACGGCCAGCGGCCAUCCCAUACGGCGGGUCUGGAGCGAUGCAGAGGUCGGUGGAAUUGCCGGUGUAGUGGUGAAAUGCGUAGAGAUCAGGAAGAACAUCGGUGGCGAAGGCGCUCUGCUGGACCAUAACUGACACUCAGGGACGAAAGCUAGGGGAGCGAAUGGG
rnacentral:rRNA from 1 species